rnacentral:lncRNA from 1 species
CAAAAGAAAGCUAAGCUUAUGUACAUGAUCAUUGCAGAUGUAAACAAAAGUAUGUGAAAGAUGGAGAUACAAAGCAUCGUUUGUGUCUCAUAUACAGUUCAUUUGUGUCUCAUAUACAGUAGAAGCUGAAGUAGCUAGAAGGACAAGAAUUAUUCUGAAAAAUCAAAAUAUGUUUUUUUUCUAAGAAACUAUAGAUAAAAACGAUAAACAUAAAAAUAUCAUUUGUAUGUUCUCAAGAUCAAGACAAGAUUUUUUGAUGUAUCAUGUAUGUACAAAUUAUAUAUAUAUUUUAGUGUAUUAGAAUAAGAAAUAUCAAUUAAUCAUUUGGAGUAAAACCUUUGAGUGAAUUUAUAUUAUUUUAUAAAUUAAUAUCACAAUAGAUUAUUAAAGAUUUGCUCUGAUUAAUCUCGAAUUUUUUUUUGAUAAUUUGACAGUUCCAAUAGCGCAGUUUUGAUAUCGCCUCCUAACUCAUGUCUAACAUUCUCCCGAACAUGGAUUAGAAGUAAAAAUUAUAUACCAUCAUGUAGCACUGGAUAUCAAGUUUUGACUUGUAUAAAAGUGAAAAAUAUAUGCGCAGGUGCACGAAUCAAAUUCUAGUUUAAUUUUAAUGCUCAAAACAAUUAUAUAUAUGUUUGAAUUAAUAAUAUUAUAUUUGAAUAGUUUUAUUUAUUUAUAGCAUUUGGUAAUUAGUUUUAUUAAAAAUAACUAUUUUUAAUUAUGAAAGCAUAAAUACUUUUUAUAAUUAUUUUAUAUUUAUAUAAUGUUUUGAACCGAUUUCUAUUCACUCUCACAAUUCAAAUAUAUUUUGAACCGUACUGCUAGUUUCACUCUUGGAGAUCCACUCUCGCUAGAUCUGCUAGAUACGAUCUGUGCCUGAUCAGUUUUCCAUUCAAAUCCUAUGUGUGACAGUGUGAGUAAGUGUGUCGAUUUUUUAUUCUAUUAAUCGGCAAAUGUUUUUUUCCUAGAAAUUUAUAACCCUUUUUAUUUCAUUUAUAAAAAGGAAUCACCUAUUUACUUACUUUUUUUUUUCUUUUCUCAAUACGGUUCUGUUGGACUUAAAUUAGAAUAAUGGAUAAACAACAAAACUACAUAUUCAAUGAUUUGGCUAUUGGUUUUACUAGGACCAGCAAGACCAGCACAAGUUCAGGUCUACAACAGCAACGUACGUCCUUAACAACCGCGUGACCAUUAUCUUUCUCUGGACGGUGCAUUCAUAUAUAUAUAUAUAUAUAUAUACCAUACAUGGCUCAGUUUCCUAAUCGUUGGGAAAUAUUAGCAAACUUGAACAAGUGAGUAUAUGAUAGUAUGAGAAAUCAUACAAGGUAUUGAUAUUUAGGUAACAAUUUAUUAAUUGUUUGAUCAAAUUUUUAACUUGAGUGUGUGAAUCCAAAUGAUGAUUGAUUGAUUUCUAUCCAGACAAAAUAAUGUCUCUUCUCUUCACCAAUUUUUUAUUUUAUUUUAAUAAGACAUGUGUUUAUUUAGAUGCUAUAAAACAGACAGAGACCCUUUGAUACUGAUAGUGGGGUCGGAUACUUGUAGUUAUGAUAAUUGAUAAAUAUUAACACGCGCAAAAAUAGAUGGAUGAUGAAAGUGAAUAAUGGUUCAAGUAAAUAUGGCUGGAGUGAAGAACUUUUCAGAAUCUGACCAAGAAACUAUAGUAACCACCAGAAGACUCCUUUUGUCACAUCUUUAUCUUUAUCUUCGGACUCUGAAUCCUCGGAAAGUGUCAGCUCAGAUUGUUCUUCAGAUUUUCCUUCAGGGGAUUAACACAACCCAGAAAUAAUUUCCCUAUGAUUUCCACAAAGGUCUCGAAAAGCAGUAGAAAAAAGAAGCGAUGGAAUGAAAAGGAGGUUCUCGGGGAAUCACCCCAGCAAAUAUCUAAAACCUUGAUAUGUUAGUGGACUCUUUUUCUGGAAUGUAAGAAGAAUCAAUAGCAAGCUCAAGCACAAUAAUCUUAGAAAAUGGCUACGGCAGUCCAAGCCGUAUGCUGAGUUGGGAUGAAUCUGCUCAGAUGAUCACUUGCCAGAUUGAGUUGACUCAAUCCACUACAGCGGUUUUUGUUUCCUUUAUUUAUGGUUAUAAUUGUAAAUACCGUAGGCGGCAGUUAUGGGAUGAGUUGAGGAUCUUUGCUCAAGAUUCUAUGUUAUGUGGAAAGCCUUGGGCUGCUUUGGGAGACUUUAACCAGAUCUUAAGCCCUCAAGAGAGUUCAACAUGUUCUAUGAGAAUCUCUCGGGGUAUAUCAAAUUUUAGGGAUUGUGUUAAUUAUGCAGGCUUGUUUGAUAGGCCAUUGAUUGCAAUGCAUUUACCUGGUGGAAUAAUCAAGAAUAAUCACCUAUAGCGAAGAAGCUUGAUAUAAUCCUCAUCGAUGAUCAUUGGCAAAUCGAAUUUCCUAUGGUAUAUGCCCACUUUGGAGAACCCAUCUUCUCAGAUCACGAUCCUAGCUGCAUUAUCUUUGGGUCAAGGGCCAAGACAAAAAAAAGCACUUCAUGAUCUCGCACUUUCUGCUUGCUCACCAGGAUUUUCUCACCAGAGUUGCUAUUAACUGGCAUGAAUCAUCAGUUCAAGGUUUUGAAAUGUAUUCGCUUUCAAGGAAGUUAGAACUCCUGAAGAACGAAAUCAGAGACAUAAAUCGUGAGCAGUACUCAGACUUGGAAGCUCGAGUCAAGGAAGGCCAUAAUCUGCUGGUUGAUAGUCAGAGAAAUAUGAUGCAUAACCCGAGUUCGCAGCUGGCUCAACUUGAAAAGGAAGUUCAUAGGAAAUAGAUUACCCUGGCUAUAGCUGAGGAAAAUUUCUUACAGCAACGUUCUCUAGAGUGCUCUGGCUGAAUAUUAGAGACCUAGAUACAUCUUUCUUUCACCGGGUGGUUGCAACUGGACGCUCAGCUAACCAGAUUUAUUACCUUAUAGACUCACAUGGGAAUCGAAAAGUUCUUUCAAAUUUCAGCUUAUUGGAAAAUAUCCCUGUUCGGAACUACGCUAGGCGCUAUUUGGGCGGUAACUCCGGGCCUAGCGAGUUAUCAAAAAAUCAAAGAGUAUUCGGAGAAUAUGCGGGGUUUAGUUUUAAAUACAAUUUAAUAUAUUUAUAAUAUAUUUAGCUAAUUUUAAACAUGAUGAUACAAGUUCUUAGACAUAAUUAUAUAAUUUUUUUAUAUAUAAUUUUAAAUACUCUCUUUUUGAUUCGUAAAUGGUGGAUUUUGAUACGAAAAAAAUCUCUAAAUGUAGUAUGUAUGUGUUUGUUUUGGGUUUGAUAGGUAAUUAUAAUUAUUUAGUAAUGAAUAAUUACACAAAAUCUGUCAAUAAUGAGUAAAAAAUAAUCAACCGUGUUUUAACUUACAAGGACGAAAACAAAAAUUUAGGCGGUCAAUGCCUGGUUACACCGAUUUGGGCAUAACCGCCGCGGUCAACCUCCGAACAGUGGCUAAGUGGCCGCGUUUUCGAACAGGGAAAAAUAUGUAUGUUGUCAAUAAAAUCUAUCAAAUGAGAUUUGGUGAGUUUAGAUAAUAUUUUAUAGUGCAAAAGCAGUGAAUGGAAAUACCACCUCCUAUGAUGCUAUUUGAAUCUAAAAAAUAAAAACAAAAAAUUUACUUCACAUUUUUGAAAAGAAAAUCAAACUUUUUGAAAUGAAAAAAAGAGUUAAAAAUCGAAUUUUAAACUUUAUCUAUUUUAUAUAUUUCAUAAAACAAUAAAAUAUGAAUUAUAGCAAUUUUAAAAAUAAAAUAUCAUUUUAAAUAAAUAUUUAAAUUUUAAAAGAUUUUUUUUUUCAAAAACUCUGCAAUUUCUUCAAAAAUACUUAAAACUUGUAACAAUUUUUUUUUAAAAUUUACUUAAAUCUCAGAUCUUCUUGGAUUUACCCAAAACUUUAAUUUUUUCAAAUUCUUGAUUCAAUAAGCCUCUAAUCACUUACCUCGUCUGUUUGCAAGUAGAUUUCACAAGGACCACUAAGAAGGAACUCUAGGAUAAGCACAACUUUAAGUGUUCAAGAAACGCGUGGCCACCAUUAUCUUCCAAGAAUUUCGUUAUUUGUGUGUUAUAUCGACAUUUUAUGCAAUGAACAAGUUUAUCAAAAUAUGUUGUUUUUGUACCAUUCGUUUUGCACCAUUUGUUUUUCUUUUGCAAUUCUAUUAAUUUCCCUACAGUCAGUGUAUAAUUAUAGCAUGUUUCUUCUAUUGCCUCUAGACUUCUCUAGUAAAUUUUAGACUGCAGUUUCUACGAACGAAAUUUUUUUUUUUUCUGCACGUUUAGUUGUGUUAAAUCACUAACGCGAUUCAAGUCAUUCAUCAUAUUCCUAACGGUAUCCAUAACUUUUUGACGAUUCUAAAAGAAAAUUAUCUUGAUAUAAAGUUAUACUGUUUAAAAACUCUCUUUUUAAACAAUAUCGAAUUCUCUUUGACAAAAUUAAACAAUAUCGACUCAAUUAUUAGUUGAUGGGAGUAAAAACGAUUAAAGAUGAAUGAAAAUGAUACCUAAACAGGGGACCUGUUGAAAGGAGACUGCUGACGUACGUGUCAAAACGUGCACGAUGGAUUAUUCGUAAACGACAUUCACGUUGCUCUUCAGUUCUUUAUAAGACAGCGACUGUCUUAAAGGUUUGUGCCGUCCACAUUCCCUAGAGUGGUUUUAAAGCAACUUUUCAAUAAUAUAACCAGCUAAAGUUUCCAACAAGUAGCAAAGACAAUUUUUCCUAAUUCGUGAUUAAGUUUUAUUUGAUAUAUAUUUAUAUAUUUGUUGAAGUUUAAUUUUCCUAAUCAUAUGAAUUAUCCAAACCGUUAUAAUGCUAUCAUUUACAGAUAUAGGGAUGAACAUGGAUGAUAUAUUCUGAUUUUUAGGGUAUCAGUCGAAUUUAUAAUUUUACCGCAGAUGCAAAUACAAAUAUCCAUGUUGGGUUUCAUACUGAACAAUAUACUCAACAAUAUAUCCAUUUUCUUUUGGCCUACGGACAAUAUAUCCAUAUAACAUAUGUAACCAAACAUACUACUUUACCAUAUUAUAUUCUUUUAAUAUCAAAAUAAUAUUAUUUUUGAUAUUUUUGAUACCAUAUUACAUACUACUUUCAUUUCUUUGGUUCUUUCUAGUUCCGGCCUAAUAACAUUUGGUUUGAGACUUAACUUAUCAUGAAAUGUGUUUCAUGCAAAUGUUACCAAACUCUAAAGUUUUGUAACCUUACUUUGUAAUCGUUUAUGUUUUUAAUUGAAAGAAUUUAGUCAAAAAAAAAAAUAUAUUGUAUAUAGGUUGAAAUAGUAUAGAAUUCAAUGUUCAAAUUAUACUGGUGGAGAAUUUCAAAGUUAAAGACCCGCGUAUUAUUGAUGUUUUGAGGUUCACCUCGAAUCGGAAAAUAGGAACAAAACAAUCGGCGACUGGAGAUCAGCGUUGAGACAUGAUAAUCUAGACCACGUAAAAUUAUACUAUAAAUUGUCUAGGGGCAAGAUAGAAAAGAAGACAGUGCACAUGAAAUUUGACAAAAUUAGUGAAAGAGAAAAAGAAUACAAAAUUUAAAAAGAAAUUGAGAACACUUUUAUGUUUAACAUAUAAACUACAUACAAUAGUUUAGCCAUAACAUUAGCUAAUAUUUUCAAUUAUAUUUUUGGUUAAUCGGUUAUAUUCUUAUUCUAACUUAUUGAAACCAUGAAAUUGCGGAUAAGAGAAUUGAAAGAAUUUCAACAGAAAACAAUAGGACAAAAUUAGGCAAUUAGCUGAGCACAGAUCGUAACUUAAAUACAAUACUGUGAUUGGUACGAACUUCCAAAACCACUGAAUUAAAUGUCUAUAUAUAUAUAUACGAUAAGCAUAGAAUUAAUUUUCAUUAACUCGAAUGAAAUGGUUUAUAUACAAAGUAUAAUUUAACCAUGAAAGGAUAAUAAGAACACUUCAUGAUAAAAAAGGAUAAAAAGAAAAAUUAAUAAAAAGAAGAUGGGUGUGACUUUUUGUGCUAACAUAUGAGCGGCAUUAUUGCCCGUCAAUAUAUAAAACGUAAAACAUCUAUUAAUUAGCCCAUCUCCAAUGUACUUUAUUUCUACUUCAAAAUGGAGUAACUAUAUGAGUUGAAUUUUACUAUAAUUCUGUUUCAUUUUAAAAUAAAAAAUGAAACAAUGAAAAAAAUUAUUAUUCUAUUUACAGAAUUAUUUUAUUUUUUAUAUAGUUAAAUAGAAAAUAUCUCGACAAAAAACAUUAAAUAGAAAAUAAAAUAAGGUUGAAAUAUUUCUUACUCCAAACUCCAUGUAAAAAUAAAGUAAACUCGGAGAUUCUCUUAUCCAAAGGUAGAUCCAAACAAAAACAAUAUAUUUUCUCUUUGUGGUUGUUUAUAUUUAAUCUAUAUUUAUUUUAGGUCUAUUGAUAAUUACUUAGUGCAAACACCUAAAGAAGAAAAAUAUGUUUAUAACUGGUUUAUUUUGAAAAGUGUUAUUUGGUAUACAUUUUCACAUAUAAAAGGAGACGCAUAAGUUAGGAUUUGAAAUAAUAAAUAUCUAAUUUCAUUUAAUCAGAUAUGUUUUUAUUAAUUUUGAAUCACUGAAAAAAAAUCGUAGCGAAAACCAGUUUUGUAUUCGCCCUUUUGCAAAAUAUCACAACAUUCAGAAAAAGUUAAGAAGAAAUCACAGAAACUUAACUUGAAAUUUAAAGAAGACUUCCUACAACUGCAAACGUUAUUGACUUAUUCUGAGAAUCUUUAUAUGUACUCUUCUUGAAAUUGUGUUUCUAUUUUCAUAUUUGAAGUAUUUUGGAAAGAUAAUUAUUUCUAGAAAUUAAAAGAUAUGUUCUACAACUCAAUAAAAAAAAAUUCAGUAAAAAAAAAAUUCAAUAAAAAUCACGUUAUUCUAGUCAUGUUUUAAUGGUGAUAGGUACAAUAACCAAAGACAUGCAUCAUCAUCAUCGCUGCUAUGCUUUUCCUUACUUCAUGAAUUUAGCACAUCUUUGAGCACCAUCCAUGCUGCCCAACUGCGCUUGGUCAUAAAAGAAACACGAUUGCAUUUCCUGAUUUAUUUUCAACAUCUUAUUUGACAAAAAAAGGUUAAAUUAUUAUAACUCUUAAACCGUAAUGCCACCUCCAUCCUUUGAAUACUAAACUCUAGUCACUAAAAUUAAACUAAAAUGUAAAUAAAAUGGUUUUUUAAUUUUUAUUUAGUGUUAUUUUAGAAAAUGAAAUUUGUGUACCAAUUUUUGAACAAAAGAUAUUUUAGUGCUAUCCAUGGUAUUUUUCAAAUGAACAAAUAGCCAACAUUUUCACUUCUGUUUUUGACAAAAAUACACAUGCAUUAUGUUCACAACGAUUCACAAGCACCACACAAUUGGAAAUAUCUUGACGUAGAUUUUUAGCCUAUAAAUAGAACAGCGGGGAAAGAAGAUGAAAGACACAAACAAAUACACAAAAACCGAAUAGUGCAGCUAUGGCUCCGAGUGUGCAAGGCGAGUGGAUCAAGGUAACUAAUUAAUUAAUCAUGGAUUAUAUUAUAAUGUCAGCCUAAUUUCUCUCGUAUACAUAAUUUUGCACGAGAUAAACAUAGACUUUUAGUAAAGCUACGUAGACACCGAUACCCUUUCCUCGUUCUCCACACAUCUCACACAUAAUUAAUUGACUGAUCAUACUUAUCCCUUUUUAAUAGUCACAUAUCAUCAACAUGGUUUUGAAUUAUCUUGGUCAUUGAUACUGAUUAACAGGUCGAGCAGAAAGGAGGACAGACACCAGGACCGAGAAGCUCACAUGGCAUAGCCGUGGUCGGAGACAAGCUCUACUCGUUUGGUGGCGAGUUAACUCCCAACAUUUCCAUCGACAAGGACCUUUACGUCUUUGACUUCAACACUCACACUUGGUCAAUCGCUCCGUCCAAGGGAGUAGCCCCUGACGUCAAGGCCUUGGGCACCCGCAUGGUGUCCGUGGGAACUAAGCUCUAUCUAUUCGGAGGCCGCGACGAGAAUAAAAAGUUCGAUGACUUUUACUCGUACGAUACGGUGACAAAUGAAUGGACAAAAAUUACCACUCUGGAUCAAGAGGGAGGACCCGAGGCUCGAACUUACCACUCCAUGGCUUCGGAUGAAAACCAUGUGUAUGUAUUCGGUGGAGUGAGCAAAGGAGGGACCAACAAGACACCCUUUAGGUUCAGGACCAUCGAGGCCUAUAACAUUGCUGAUGGGAAAUGGGCUCAGCUUCCUGAUCCUGGUGAGCAGUUCCCAAGGUUCGAGAGAAGAGGAGGAGCUGGAUUCGUUGUGGUGCAAGGAAAGAUUUGGGUGGUUUACGGGUUUGCAACUUCUCCUGAUCCUAAUGGGAAAAAUGACUAUGAGUCCGACCAAGUGCAGUUUUAUGACCCGGCUACUCAGAAAUGGACCGAAGUGGAAACUAAAGGAGACAAACCUUGUGCGAGGAGCGUGUUUGCACAUGCGGUUGUGGGGAAAUAUAUACUGAUAUUUGGAGGAGAGACCUGGCCGGACCCAAAGGCACAUUUGGGACCAGGGACGUUGUCUGAUGAAGGGUUUGCGUUAGACACUGAGACACUGGUGUGGGAGAGGUUUGGAGGAGGAGCUGAACCGGGUCAACUUGGUUGGCCCGGUUACACGACUGCCACCGUGUAUGGAAAGAAAGGUCUCCUCAUGCAUGGUGGAAAACGUCCGACCAACAACCGAACCGAUGAGCUUUACUUCUACGCAGUUAAUUCUGCGUAAUCAAUGCUCCCACCCUCGUGGUAUGUUUGUGUGGUUAAAAUUAUAUGCACCAAUAAAGGUUUGUGAGACCUACGAAAACAGCCAAUUUAUCUACCUGUUGCUGAUUGUGGUAUCUUAUUAAAUCGAAUUAUGUGUGUUUGUGGUUUGGAAAUUGCUGUAUUUGGGAUAAUAUCUUUCCUUGUGUGUAAUUCUAAUAAUAAUUAUAUGAUAGUAUGAAAUUAUCUAUAAAUUUGUUGCAUCAUUUAAUUUCCAGUAAUCGUCUUGACAUUUAUUCACUAGAACCAUAUAUAUUUAAUUAGAUGAUUUUUUUUUUUUGAACUUAUAUUUAAUUAGAUGAUGACCAUGAAUGAUACACCUAAUUCGUUAUAUGAGCUAUUUUCAUUUGUCAUCAAAACAUUAUAACAUAAAGACACAAAAGAGUUUGAUCUGGAAUACAUGAACCAGCCUUAUUAUGAGAGAUUGAGAGCCUUAGAGAAAUUAAAAUUUCCCUACCAACGUGUGAAUAUACAAAGUAGAGGAUUUCACAAUAAUAUUUUACUAUUUUGUCUUGUUCGAUUGUUUAUUUAAAUUAUUUGAUUGUAUUAUGAUUGAUAGUACUAUGGAAACUAUCUACAAAGUACAAACUUGUUGCAUCACUUAAUUUUCGCGGAAUCGUACUUGACAUUUAUUCAUUGGAACCAUAUAUAUUCAAUUAGAUGACAACAAAUGUAUAGAACAUAAAGACGAUGAAUGAUACUCCUAAUUUUUUUAUAUAAGUUCCUUUUAACUUUCAUUAAAUUACAACACCAUAACAUAAAGCCACAAAAGGAGUUUUAUAUGGAAUACAAUGAACUAGCGUACCGUGAAAUAAACAAAAGAAGAUUUCUGAAUAGUACUUUACUAAUUUCAUGUUAUUGAAAUAAUUUUAAAACAAUUUAUCUUAAAACAGUUACUAUAUAAAAUGACGUGAAGUAAGUUUAGCCCUAUUUUGUUUUGUACUUUUACAGAAUAUGUAAAAACUACGAAUUAGCUAUGACGACCUAAACCUACUAUAGUACUAUUUAGACCAUAAAUGAUCCACCUAAUUCACUAUUGUCAUCAAAACAUAACCCCAUAAUUGAAUGUCACAACAAAUGAUAGUAGAUUAUAGAUUAUAGAUUAUUUAUAUUGCUGGAAGAGGAGAUCUAGAUAGUAAGAUAGGCCCAACAUUUGGGAUAUCAUGGACUCAAUUCCGAUUGUUUUAUUACAAAACUAAAAAAAGAUGCCUCAGUUUUCUUGUCUUUGUUCGUUAUUAUAGUAACUCUUUUAACUGACUCAGGCUUUGAUCACAUAUUGCAACAUAAUCUUAGACAACCAGAAAGGCCAUUGAUUCUCCAUCUCCGAUUCCAUCUUCUUGAUAUCAUAAAGAGACUCAAUUCUGAUCUGCCUCAACCUCAUGGCAGCCAUAGAUUCUUGUAUAUCAGUAAGAUGUCUGUAGUGUUUAGAGGUGAUGGAUCUAGAUUUUUUUUACUUGGGGCAGAAAUUAAUUAGUAAAGUAUAAUCUAAGAAAUAAAUUAGUAAACAAUAGAUUUUGUUAGAAUACUGAAAGUAUAUAAAAAACAGAAAAUAAUGAUUGUGUGUUGAGUUUAAUCUAGGUAGUGUAGAAUUUUUUAAAGUGGUUUCAAAAGAUACUAGAUCUUACUAGUUGUGUCUUGGGUUUUUUUUUUUAUCGUUUACUUAUCUAAGCUAGAUCAAGCGGAGAACAGACGAGCCAAUCUUCUGAGGAGCAUUUUUAUCUGUCCGGAUCUGAUCUAUAUGGGAGAAAAUAUAACCUCUGGUCUUUGCAUCUUUUGCUAAUCCGUCUGUCCGGCCAUUCCGAUUUCGAGGAAUAUGAGACAGUCUCACAUACUCGAAGUCUUCCUGUAACCUCUGGAAUAUCUCAAUCUCUGUUGCAAAAGCAGACCAGUCCAUCGGGUUUGUAGUCAUAUCCACUAAGUCCGAACAGUCCGUCUCAAACCAUACCGAAGUGAUCCUUUUGUCUCUUAUACACGAGGCUGCCCAAAAUAAUCCUUCCAUCUCAGCAUGCAAAGCUGAGAGGCUCCUGUUACACGCCCGUAAUCCGAAGUAUUCUAAGCACAUUUGAUCCUUAAGACUUCACCCUAAGCCACUGACACUACCAUUAUUGAUCCAUGAUGCAUCAAUUUGACAAGUAGGGAUUCGAGAAUAUCUAAGGGAACACUGUCUCACUCUCUGUAAUAAGGAGAUCGUUAUGAUCCUCAUUUGCUUCCUCUUUUUUGUUAGUCUUUUCCAACAUUUCGUUUCAAAAGACGCAUGUUGGAGGGUAUCAAUGAGGAAUACGUCUUUUCCAUUGAAGAGUUUGUCGUUUUUCGCUUUUCAAAUAUACCAACAGAUCUACGGAAAAGUAUCGAAUUGUAGUUUCAGAGGAGCCACCUCUUUUCUCUUCCAAAAAAGGAAGUUCAUGUUUUGAUAUAUGAAUGGAUUUGGGAAGUUCAUAUCGAGAAGUUCAUAUUUUGAUAUAUGGAUGUACUUGCGUUUAAAUCUCGAGAUUUGAAUUUUGUACUCAUAUUUGGCUAAUACGAGAUGAUGUUGAGAAACAAAAUUAAAGUUUGAAGUGGAACCAUUAUAUCCUAUGUUUUAGACCCUAUAUGUCUCAGUCUUCACAUGUUGCUAUUGUUUCGUAUGGUUGACAUUUGGACGGAACCUUUGACCACAUGUCAUUACAUACUGAACCGUAGAAAAUCGAUUACAACAAAUUAUGUAUAAAAUAAUAUAUAUUUGUUUAAAACUGACCACAUAUUAUUUUAUUCUUUUAUCCAAUUAUACUAUACUUAAACCAAUUUAAUUUAAAAUAUGAAACCAUUUAACAGAAUUUGUCAACCUUUUCUUCUUUUUAACUCUUUUAUGAUUUCUCAAGGCAAAAUUAUUUUGAAAUAAACUAAAUAUAAUUGCAAAGUAUGUGAAUAUAAUAAAGCACCACAUUUUCAAAAGAAUAACCAGACACAGAAACACACACACACAUAUAACUUCAAACAUGUUGAUUUUUUUUUUGAAAAGUGUUUUUGUAACACCUUUCAUUGUUGACAAAAAAAAAAAAAACACCUUUCAUUAAUAAUUAGAAAUUACAAGUACUAACCAGAUUACAGUCCACUUUUUGAGAUUUGAAGCUGACUUGUUAUACCAAAAGUUAAACCAGAUACCAAAGAAUUCUAUUUUUCAAAUACCAUUCUCGAAAACAGGAAGCUUACAAGAUGGUUCCAGACUGAAUAAGACCAUACCCGAGUAGAAUAAGGACAAUUGAAAAUAGGUGAUGAUGUAAUUCAGCCUGAUUUGAGCAUAGAAGAAAUCCUCUAAUAUUCGGAGAUGAUUUGAAAAAAAAACAAUUGAAAAUAGGUGAUGAAGCGAUUCAGCCUGAUUUGAGCAUAGAAGAAAUCCUCUAAUAUUCGGAGACGAUUUGAAAAAAAAAAGACAAUUGAAAAUAGGUGAUGAAGCGAUUCAGCCUGAUUUGAGCAUAGAAGAAAUCCUCUAAUAUUCGGAGACGAUUUGAAAAGUCCCGACAUCCGAGACAAUGAAGAAAACUUCACUUUUUCGGGAUCUUAGUUAAUGGCCAAGAACGGUAAUCAAUUCCAAAAAAUUUCAAAAACGGAUUAGCGGAAUGUACCGGUUUAAUGGGCGGGCGAAGUUAGUAUUGUAGUAGGUUGAUUUUGAAAUUUUUGUUCAAAACAUGUUGUAACAGAAUCUAAAUUCCUGAUUCUCGGAUUGAAUUAAUAUAUACUAUAUUAAACAGUAUAAAAUAGAUUAAAAUUUUUAUUUCUUAAAAUGAAGUUUAGAAUGAAUGAAAAAUGAAUGAAUUAAAAAUGCUCCAACACCUGUAAAAAAAGUUAGACUGGAUGGUGAACACUUCCACAUUCACAACGCUGUCACUUGAAAGGGCUCUUUCAACAAAACUUGUCAUUCAAAUAGGUUCGAUUAACUGUAACAAACUUUUUUAAAAUAUAUUUGUUUCAAAUAUUUUACUAUAUAAAUAUAGUAGUGCACCGAGGAACUUAUCAAACAUAUCUUAUUACUCUCUAUUUCACUAAAAAUGGCAUGCAACUGCAGUUUAGCGAAUGUUCUAGGGGUAGUUUUAGUAUUCACUCUGUUCCACGACCCGAUCACCGUGGCCGGACAAAAUAUUCCGGCGGUGGCAUUGUUCACGUUCGGCGAUUCCAACUUCGACGCCGGAAACAGAAUGUUCCUCGCAGGUACAAGAUUUCCUCAAAACUUCUGGCCUUACGGUAAAUCCCGAGAUGACCCCACUGGCAAGUUUUCGGAUGGCAGAAUUGUCCCUGACUUUAUCGGUGAGUUAAUUGUUUGAAGUAAAUAUUUUUAAACCGAGUUCAAUUAAACAAGCAAUUCAAAGAUACUGCAUAGCAUAGCAUUUUAUAAAUGUGUGAAAUCUUGAAAUACAACGGACUAAGGAUCCUAGUUUAUAUUAUGCUUAAAUAUUUGUUGAACAUGUUCCAUUUGAAAAAAAUGAAAUAAAAAUAGGGACAGAACUCUCAAACAUUAAGAAAAAAACAUAGAUUUAUUUUUGGUUUUGUUUUUUAAGUAACCAUAUAUUUAUUUACUAAAAUGACAGCAAAAUUCAUGGGGAUUCCACACGAUUUACCGCCGGCGUUUGAACCUGGCGCCAAUGUCUCACGAGGAGCUAGCUUUGCUGUAGACUCUGCUAGCAUACUUGGGACUGCCAGAGACUCUGUAACUUUCCUUAAUUAUUUAUGUAUAUUUAUAAUGCACGCGAACAAAGGAAGUAACUAUUGUUAUUCAUAAUUGAUUAGUACAGUCAUCAUUUUUAUUCUGUCAUUAGUUUUUGUUAAAUAAUUAUAAGCAAAAUUCUGUAAUGUUUGUCCACAAAAAAAAAUUAUGUAAUGCAUGAUUUUAAUUUUUUUUUUUAUAGUUGAAUCUGAAUAACCAAGUGAGGAGAUUCAAUCAGAUGAUAUCAAAUUGGAAAGAAGAUUACAUUACGAAAUCAUUGUUUAUGAUAUCCAUUGGUAUGGAAGAUUACUAUAACUUCACGAAAAACAACCCUACCGCCGAUGGUUCUGCUCAACAAGCUUUUGUCAUUUCAGUCAUUAGCCGACUAAGAAACAAUAUCGAGGUAAGUACUUUCGAUUUUAAAGUAAUGAGAAAAUUAGUUAGAAGUAUAUUAAUGACAUUUGUUACACUAUAAUUAAUUUGCAUAUUACAGAUGUUGUAUUCGUCGGGAGCUAGUAAAUUCGUCGUAUAUACGUUACCCGCACUGGGUUGCUUUCCUAUCGUGAGACAGGAGUUUAACACUGGAAACGACUGUUACGAGAAAUUGAAUGAUUUGGCUAAACAACACAACGCUAGACUCGGACCGAUGCUGAACGAUCUAGCGAGAGCCAGAUCGGGUUUCCAGUUCACAGUUUUCGAUUUCUACAAUGUCAUUCUUCGCAGGACACAAAGAAACAUGAAUUUCCGUAAGUAUUAUGUACCGUUACAAAAUAUAUAUACACUAGUUAAUAUAAAGGAUUUGGAACUAGUAUUUGAUAAUAUUUGUUGUGACUGACUAGGUUACUCCUUUACGAAUGUAUCGUGCUGCGGUAUAGGGUCGCACAACGCCUUCGGUUGCGGUAGACCUAACGUGCACUCAAAGCUAUGUGAGUAUCAAAGAUCUUAUCUUUUCUUCGAUGGACGUCACAACUCAGAGAAGGCACAGGAACAGUUUGCUCAUCUUCUCUUUGGAGCCAAUCCAAACGUUAUCCAACCCAUGAACAUUCGUGAACUUAUUACCUAUCCUGUUAAUACAAAUAUGUCUGAGUUUUGGAAAGAACCAGUAGGGAGGAAUUUGUUGUUGGUCCAUGAAUACGACGCCAAUGCGAGUGCAUCUACGUAGUUUCGAGCUUAAAAGUUAGUGUCUAGAUCAGUCGCUAGCUAAGCGGUGUGACCGUUGAAACUCUAAAUAAAAUGUUGUUAUCCUCUGUUUUUUGUAAUAAAAUAAAAGUGCAGUGUUUAUUUUUUAUGGUUUUAUGAAAAUACACAUAUCGUCUUUAUUAAAAAUUAAAGUGAACUGUAGGAACCUAUAAAUCAUGAAAUCCAAUUAGCAUUGUUUCCUGUUAUUAUCGAAUUUCAAAAGUGCUCUAAUUCUAAUUAUUUUUUUGUUUUCACAAUACUCCCUCUUGAAGAAAAGAAUAAAUUGUUUUUUUUCAACUUUGCAACUAAGUUAAAAGAUCAGCUCUUGUUUUUUUUUUCUCUGUCUCAGAACUCAGUCACAUGGCAAUGACAUCUGAGAAAUCAGAAUAAUGCGAAGGACACACCAUCGCUUGUUUGAAUACAUACAUCUGGCAUCUGAUUUAUACAUACGACCCACUACCAUAUCCUUUAUACAAACCACAAUAAUAAUUUUAUGUCUACAAUUCAUCACAAAAUUUCAAAAAAAGAAUUCAUGACAGAAAUUCAUAAUAAUAUUUUUUUUAUCAACCAAUUGAUUAAUAAUGAGAAAAGCGUUUAUGGUCUUAGGCCCAAAUACAAGGAUAAAGAGGCUUUCGCUAAUGAGUCUGCAGACCUAUUAAUAGUCUGGAAAAUGUAAACAAAAUGACAAAAUACGAAGGUGAUGUCGGAGGAGAAGCCAGAGAGUUAGACGUCUGAGAGAACUCCAAAAAAGUCCGAAGGUCACAAUAAUAUUGUUAUAUUAUGAAUUUCGUACUACCCACUACCAUAGUCUUUAUACUAACGAUAGUUGUCUGCACUGUUAAGAUAGUUAUAUAUUGUAACGCUCAAAACAUAUUUGUUUUAACUGUUUUAUUAUUCUGUAUAAGUUGCAGUGUGAUGCACAGAACAAAAUUUCGUUGAUUUUGAACUAUAUGUUGGGGCAUGUCCAAAACAUAUAUGUAAAAACAUCAACAAUGUAAAACUCCAUUUUCAAAAGUAAAAAAUGGAGUAAAAUUACUCUAACUUUAUUCAAUUUCCUAUUCCAUAAUGGAGUGUCAAACAAAAAAUAGAUUACUCCAUUUAUGGAAUAAACUUUAUUAUGGAGUGAGAUAUGAAGUUGGGUUGGAGCAUUCUUUACUCCAUAGUCAUUUUUACUCCAUAGUUUUUUUUACUCCAUGUAGUUGGUUAAUAAAUUUUAGUUAUUAUUCAACUACUUUUAUUUCGGACCGAUCAGAAUAAUGGUCCGUCAAUUUAUUAGAAGUCAAUCAAUUUUUUUUAUUUGCUUAGUGAGAAAGUGAAUACCAAGGACUAAAUCAAUACACGCGAUAUACAAGUUUAUUUAAAAUCUGUAUUUGGCAAUAUACAACUCAUUUGUAUUAAAUAAAAUAUAUUUCUUACUAUCUUUGUGCCAAACUAUAUAUGAUUCAAAAUAUAUAUCUUCAUAACUAUAUCCUAACACAUAAAAAAAUGUAUUUAUGGAAAAUACGAAAUUAUAUAUUCCAAGGAUGUUAUUCUUCGAAGAAACUAUAUCAAACAAUGUAUAUUACGUCAGUUUACUUCGAAAGAUGGAAUCUAUUUUUUUCAAAAGGUUUAAUUAUAAAUUAAAAACUUUGAUUAUAUGAAUUAAAGGUGGUCGAUCCGGUAAAAACCGAAUCGAAAUAGAAAAAGUAGUUUGGAAUUGGUAAUAUUGUAUAAAUCGAGUAGAUGUUAGUUUUAAAAACUCUGAUAUAUGAAUAUGGUUCAGUAUAUAAAUCAAUUAAACCAAAUAAACUGAUUAAUUAAAAUAUAAGAAUAUAGUUAUAUGUAAAUUACAUAAUAUAAUUAAUAAUAUAUAUAUGUAUUUUAUUUUAUUGAUACGAUCUUGAUAUUUUAGACGUUAAUUUGAAUUAUUUGUUAUUUUAAGUAAAGACUUUCAUUGAAAUACAUUUGUGAUAAAAUUUAUUUAUUUAAUAAUAUGAUAUUAUUAAUCUUUUUCAUCUUAUGAAAUUAUAAUAAUUAUAAUUUAUUUAAUAGUUAUUUUAUUAGUUAAAUAAACUAGAAAACAUCAUAUUUAAAAAUUAGAGUACUUUUUAAUAAUUCACAUUUUAAUCAUACAAAAUUAAAUUGAAAAAAUGGUAUAAAAGAUAAAUAUAUUUUAAUUUUUUUGGUAAAAAUCAAAUAAACCAAACACCAACGGUAUAUAACCCGAACCAAACCAAAGUAGAUGUGGUUUUAAUAUGGUAUCUAAUUUUUAUAUAUCGAGAUACCAAAAAACUGAACUGAAACUAGAUCGAUAUAUGUAUUAAACCGCCCUACUUUGGUUAUAUAAUUUUUACAUAUGUCUCACCCUACGUAAAAAGUCAGUCUUAACCUAGUUUACACACUAAAAUUCAUAUAGCCUAGUUGAAAUAACUCAUAAAACUAUGACACUUCUACAUUUGAGAUACUUUCCGGCCUCCCUCUUCUAUUUUUUUUUGUUUAUUUAACUUGUUAAGAUGUUUAUUGAAUAUCUACUCAGUGCUCUAAGGUCGUUCUCAGAAGUGAAUCCAUUCGGGGAGGAGGGGGUGUCACAUGACACCCCAUAAAUCUAUAAAUGUAUAAGAAGAUGCUUAAGAACAAUGAGAAUUCGAUGGCUAUUUGGUAAAAGGUGUCUACUGAUACCCCUAAACAAGAGUUCGUUCUUACCUUAACCCCUCUUUAAUUAUUAUUUUUAAAUCAUUGUCCGGUUCGACCACUGGUUGUUCUCAUAUGCACAUCUUAUUCUGCUCACGUGGGUGGGGCGUACGUAAGGGGGUCCAUUUUGCAUGAUUUGGAGUUUUUCACUGAUUGAUAUAUAUAUUUUCCGAUAUUGGUUUGAAAUUUGUUUUUUAUUGAAAUUCAUAUUAAUGAAGCUUGUUUUGUAAGUUUACUACUAGCUUGGAUUUAUCCUUACCUACCCCUCUUUAAUUAUUAUUUUUAAAUCAUUGUCUGGUUCCGCCACAGGUUGUUCUUACAUGCAUGUCUUAUUCUGCUCACGUGGGUGGGGCGUACGUAAGGGGGUUCCAUUUUGCAUGAUUUGGAGUUUUUCACUGAUUGAUAUAUAUAUUUUCCGAUCUUGGUUUGGCCUCGUACAUAAAUGAAUUAUUUAACUAAACAAAAAUUUGUUGUAAAUCAAAAACUUUUUUUUAUUUCCCUUUCCUCUUAUCACAGAAGAAGAAAUAAAAGAGAGCGAUAAGCCCAGGUUACGAGGCGCCGCCGGCGAAAGUUCAGUAUGAACAGAAGCCUCUGGUGGUUUGUCUCCGACUUGGGCUCCUCUCCGUUCUGCACUCUUGUCGUAUCUCUCGGGUCACUCCUAAUCACCCCGAAGAACCAUGUCUCUCUUUCCGUCGAUGGCCUGUUGCGCCGACGAGAUCGUUACCACCGUUAUAGCUCCGCUUCCAUGUCCCCCUCAAGCGCGCCUGCGAAUCUGCUACUGUUCUCAUCUUUCGAUCUGGUGUCCGUGACAGUUCGGUGCUCUCUCUCCCACGUGAAGCCCCAAUUGUUGCAGUCGAGCUAUCUUUCUCCACCAUCGCAGACGGACUCGCCAGAUUUCAAGCUCAAUUCCUUAGCAACUGCCAGAUCUGAACUCUUAUGCUCCUUUAAUGGUUUUCUGUCGCAGUUCUCAUGGGCAUCCGGACCUCUGCAUCGUCUCACUGGUGGUUCUUCCUCCAGUUUUUUCCUCCGCUCCAGUGACCUCUCUCCCUCACCGGGAAGAACAGUAACUGAAACUCUCAGCUGUACCUUGCUGAAGAUAGUGUCCAGUCUCCAACAACCGACGAGCUGGUCUCCUCCGUUCCCCAUGCCUUCGAGCUCGUUGGUGUCACCAUUAGCAGUUCUUCACAUCUGGGAUCUGUUUCUGCCGGAGCCACCUCCACUGCCGGAUCCACCUGAUCCUCCUGACCUUGCUUCAGAUUCAGAUUUGGUCCUUUGUCCUCUCUUAUCUAGUGGCUUCCUAUUAGAGUCCUCUCACUGCAAACUGAUUAUUGUUUCUUCGAACCUUCUGUGGCGAGUUUAGUCUACACUUGGUGCUGUCAUUUUCCAUGUGAACUCCAACAUCUCUGGUAUGGUUCAAUUGAAGAACAAAGUUUCAAGGGGAUGGUAACUUCGGUUGAGUUCACAACGUUCAUCAAUCAACCACCGAAGGUCAACAAAAUCACAAGCUCAAGCGCUACAUUGUUUCACAAUCCGAAAAGACAAAAGCUUACUCCUACCAGCCCAGUAACUUUAACCAUUAUGGUUAAUUUUACUCAAACUUCCUCUCGCCAGGGCCGAGAGAGAUCGUAAUCCACUUCCUCCUUGCAGGAGAGAAUCUUUUCACCACAGUCCCUCUUUGUAAGAGGUAAUUUUCACCCGGUAUCCAAAACGUGGACCAUCGAUGAUGCUGGAACAUCCACAUCUCACUCAACGAUAGCUUCUUUUGUGGCGUCGCCCCUACUUGCGGAAACUUUGGCAAUGCAAAACGCCAUGAUCUCUGCUCACAUUUGUGGGAUAAAGUCUCUCAGCUUAGAAGCUCUUCUUAAGAAGCUUCCGGUUUUUACUUACGAUUACCGUUUAACCUAUCUUUUUAAUGCUUUAGUUUCCUUUAAUGUAACAAGUGAGUUUCAUCCUCUGGCACUGAACUCUCUACUUGUAACCUUCGAUUAAGCUUAAUAUAAUCCUCUGUUUCAC